ACCAGAUUGAAGUUAUACAUAUUAACUUACAUUCGGCAAAGAUGAGGGGGAUCAAUAUUACUAGCUUUAUAAUGAUCAUGAUGGCUGUAAUGGUCAUCUUAGUGUCUCCUAGCCACGCAAAAGAUCAAUAUUUGAAUUUCGACAUUACAUGCUUCAUGAAAUGUGCUUCUGGUUGUCUGCAAAAUCCAACCUUACAGUGUUUCACCAAGUGUCUAACUUCUUGCAUAGCACCCUCUCCGUCGCCCUCACCCUCACCCUCUCCGAUGCCUCCAAUGCCACCUAAACCACCGAUGCCGCCUCAACCACCAGCAACACCCCCAACCUCCCCUGUUUCAUUACCUAUGGCUUCACUAGCAGAGUUGAAGUCUUGCAAUUUCGAAUGUGCAGCCCGAGAGUGUGCCAGUACCGAAACAGAAAUGGAGACACUAAAUUGCAUGGAGAGGUGCUUUAAUCUUUCUUGUGACGAUAAUUAAACUGCUAUAAUUUCUACCAGAACUACAGGCCGGCCAUGUCACACAAUAAAUUGAACUAUAUCUCAAAAUCUGAGAAGAGUUAUUCUCAAAAUUAUAUAUCAUGUCAUAUAUGUUUCUCUUUGUUUCUGUUUCUAAUUAUACAUAGUUGUUCGUGAAUGUUGUAUCAUGUUCUUUGUAACUUCUGUUUAAAGCUCAGGAACAAAUUUACGAGUAGAAGAUUACUA